rnacentral:rRNA from 1 species
GAUGAACGCUGGCGGUGUGCCUAAUACAUGCAAGUCGUACGCAUUCUCGUUUCUGAUUGACGGUGCUUGCACCUAAUUGACGAGACAUUGGAAUGAGUGGCGGACGGGUGAGUAACACGUGGGUAACCUGCCCAGAAGCGGGGGAUAACAUUUGGAAACAGAUGCUAAUACCGCAUAAAAGUCAAAACCACAUGGUUUUGAUUUAAAAGAUGGCCUUUGUGCUAUCACUUCUGGAUGGACCCGCGGCGUAUGAGCUAGUUGGUAAGGUAACGGCUUACCAAGGAAAGGAGACGUAGCCGAACUGAGAGGUUGAGCGGCCACAAGGGGACUGAGACACGGCCCAUACUCCUACGGGAGGCAGCAGUAGGGAGUCUUCCACAAUGGGCGCAAGCCUGAUGGAGCAACACCGCGUGAGUGAAGAAGGGUUUCGGCUCGUAAAACUCUGUUGUUAAAGAAGAACGUAUCUAAGAGUAACUGCUUAGGUAGGGACGGUAUUUAACCAGAAAGCCACGGCUAACUACGUGCCAGCCGCCGCGGUAA